GAGGAUUUAGCUUAAUGAAAGUAAUUGAUUUGCGUUCAGUAGAUGUAGGAUAAAUUCUUGCAAUCCUUA
rnacentral:tRNA from 1 species